rnacentral:rRNA from 1 species
CCUACGGGAGGCAGCAGUGGGGAAUAUUGGGCAAUGGGCGCAAGCCUGACCCAGCAACGCCGCGUGAAGGAAGAAGGCUUUCGGGUUGUAAACUUCUUUUCUCAGGGACGAAGCAAGUGACGGUACCUGAGGAAUAAGCCACGGCUAACUACGUACCAGCAGCCGCGGUAAUACGUAGGUGGCAAGCGUUAUGCGGAUUUACUGGGUGGAAAGGGCGUGUAGGCGGGACUGCAAGUCAGAUGUGAAAACCACGGACUCAACCUGUGGACUGCAUUUGAAACUGUAGUUCUUGAGUACUGGAGAGGCAGACGGAAUUCUUGGUGUAGCGGUGAAAUGCGUAGAUAUUAGGAGGAACACUAGUGGCGAAGGCGGUCUGCUGGAAAGCAACUGACGCUGAGGCGCGAAAGCGUGGGGAGCAAACAGGAUUAGAUACCCUUGUAGUC